rnacentral:rRNA from 1 species
AGCGAACGCUGGCGGCAGGCUUAACACAUGCAAGUCGAGCGGACCUUUCGGGGUCAGCGGCGGACGGGUGAGUAACGCGUGGGAACGUGCCUUCCGGUUCGGAAUAACCCUGGGAAACUAGGGCUAAUACCGGAUACGCCCUUAUUGGGAAAGGUUUACUGCCGGAAGAUCGGCCCGCGUCUGAUUAGCUAGUUGGUGGGGUAACGGCCUACCAAGGCGACGAUCAGUAGCUGUUCUGGGAGGAUGAUCAGCCACACUGGGACUGAGACACGGCCCAGACUCCUACGGGAGGCAGCAGAGGGGAAUAUUGGACAAGGGGCGCAAGCCUGAUCCAGCCAUGCCGCGUGAGUGAUGAAGGCCUUAGGGUUGUAAAGCUCUUUUAUCCGGGACGAUAAUGACGGUACCGGAGGAAUAAGCCCCGGCUAACUUCGUG